rnacentral:rRNA from 1 species
GUCUGGCAAACUGCCUGAUGGAGGGGGAUAACUACUGGAAACGGUAGCUAAUACCGCAUAACGUCGCAAGACCAAAGUGGGGGACCUUCGGGCCUCAUGCCAUCAGAUGUGCCCAGAUGGGAUUAGCUAGUAGGUGGGGUAACGGCUCACCUAGGCGACGAUCCCUAGCUGGUCUGAGAGGAUGACCAGCCACACUGGAACUGAGACACGGUCCAAACCUCUACGGGAGGCAGCAGUGGGGAAUAUUGCACAAUGGGCGCAAGCCUGAUGCAGCCAUGCCGCGUGUGUGAAGAAGGCCUUCGGGUUGUAAAGCACUUUCAGCGGGGAGGAAGGCGUUAAGGUUAAUAACCUUGUCGAUUGACGUUACCCGCAGAAGAAGCACCGGCUAACUCCGUGCCAGCAGCCGCGGUAAUACGGAGGGUGCAAGCGUUAAUCGGAAUUACUGGGCGUAAAGCGCACGCAGGCGGUCUGUCAAGUCGGAUGUGAAAUCCCCGGGCUCAACCUGGGAACUGCAUUCGAAACUGGCAGGCUAGAGUCUUGUAGAGGGGGGUAGAAUUCCAGGUGUAGCGAUGAAAUGCGUAGAGAUCUGGAGGAAUACCGGUGGCGAAGGCGGCCCCCUGGACAAAGACUGACGCUCAGGUGCGAAAGCG